GUAGGUGAACCUGCGGAAGGAUCAUUACAGAAAUAGGAGAAAGGGCGCUUAACUGCGACCCUUUUCUUUCUACACAUGUGUUUUUCUUUUUUUUGAAAACUUUGCUUUGGUGGGCCCACGGCCUGCCAGAGAUUAAACUCAACCAAAUUUUUAUUUAAUUGUCAACUUGAUUAACUAAUAGUCAAAACUUUCAACAACGGAUCUCUUGGUUCUC
rnacentral:misc_RNA from 1 species